rnacentral:rRNA from 1 species
UUCAGAGGUCUCAAGCGUUGUUCGGAUUCAUUGGGCGUAAAGGGUGCGUAGGUGGCGCCGUAAGUCGGGUGUGAAAUUUCGGAGCUUAACUCCGAAACUGCAUUCGAUACUGCGGUGCUUGAGGACUGGAGAGGAGACUGGAAUUCAUGGUGUAGCAGUGAAAUGCGUAGAGAUCAUGAGGAAGACCAGUGGCGAAGGCGGGUCUCUGGACAGUUCCUGACACUGAGGCACGAAGGCCAGGGGAGCAAACGGG